rnacentral:lncRNA from 1 species
CUUAGGGACGACAUCAAAAGUUCAAUGAAGGAUAAAAAACUUAAUUCACAUAGUUUUUUCACUGACCCCCCCACCCCCCUCUUAACUUAAUUUGGGAAAAAUUGAUUGACUCAUAUGGAUAUAUGUAAAAAUCAAUGUCGGAUAACCAAAUCUUGCAGCCGUUCAACCCCCCACCCCCAAACUAUUUGAAUUAAGUUUUUUAUCUUGCAUUGAUCUUUUGAUGUCGUCCCUUACUUUGCUGAACAUUAUUGCUGUUUACAGUUUAUCUCUUUCUAUAAUAAUAUUCAAGAUAAUAACCAAAAUCUGCAAAAUUUCCUUCAAAUUACUUAUUUCGGUGGCAGCAACCCAACAACCAGUUGUCCGAUUCAUUUGAAAGUUUCAGGGCAGAUAGAUUUUCACUUGAUGAACAAUUUUACCCCCAUGUCAGAUUUGCUCUAAAUGCUUU